rnacentral:rRNA from 2 species
UGGGGAAUAUUGGACAAUGGGCGCAAGCCUGAUCCAGCCAUGCCGCGUGGGUGAAGAAGGCCUUCGGGUUGUAAAGCCCUUUUGUCCGGAAAGAAAAGCACUGGAUUAAUACUUCGGUGUUCUGACGGUACCGGAAGAAUAAGCACCGGCUAACUUCGUGCCAGCAGCCGCGGUAAUACGAAGGGUGCAAGCGUUACUCGGAAUUACUGGGCGUAAAGCGUGCGUAGGUGGUUCGUUAAGUCUGAUGUGAAAGCCCUGGGCUCAACCUGGGAAUUGCAUUGGAUACUGGCGGGCUAGAGUGCGGUAGAGGAUGGCGGAAUUCCCGGUGUAGCAGUGAAAUGCGUAGAGAUCGGGAGGAACAUCUGUGGCGAAGGCGGCCAUCUGGACCAGCACUGACACUGAGGCACGAAAGCGUGGGGAGCAAACA